GGCUGUGAUGGCCGAGUGGUUAAGGCGUUGGACUUGAAAUCCAAUGGGGAUUCCCUGCGAGGUUCACAAUCCUGUCACAGCCG